CUUGCCAUUUGGAUAUAUCCUAGCUGUGUUUGUGCCCUCACUCAUGGUCCAGACUUUUUUCAAAUAGGACAUGUAGUUUGUCUGCAGCGAGUGUUUUGGUAGAAACUGCGCCUCCCAUUCAUUUUAAUGGGAAAUGACCACAGACAAGUGGGCACACCAUCUUUGGACCUUGAGUGUGACGCGAUCGGGAGGGGGGGGGCGGUCGCGCUGGGGGCGGCACAACGCGGCUCGGGCCCGACAGUGCCCCACCGGGGCCCUAGUUAUUAUUUUUCCUCCCCUUUGAACUGGAAAAUGGCCCACUUCCCACUGGCGAAAACUCAUGAAAUUUGGCAGGACGACCGGGCCUGGUGAAAAAUUUGAUAUUCCGCAGUCGCCCAAACAAGAAAAUGCAAAAUGGCUCCAUAGCGCCCCCUAAGGUGAAAAUUCACACUAUUGAAUGUCACGCCUGUACGCUUUGUCAAAAUGACACAAAAAUUGACACACACAUGUAUCUCAAUAAGAUCUACAAAAAAGUCAGUGCGGGCGUAUCUGUCAAAUGUACGGUUAAAGGGUUAUUUCGCAUUUUUUGCCGAUCCGCACACAUUGGAAUUUCGCUAACUCCUCCGAAGGCUUUCGUUCCACCGGCACCACAUUUGCUCAGGCCAAUCUACACCCCAUGGCCAUUAAAAGUUAUUCAAAUCAUGACGCUGCACCCCACGGUUUAGGUUCUAGGGGGCGCCAAAGAUAACCCUAAGAUCCACAUAUUUUAAAGUCUUAUAACUUUUUAUUUUUGUCCCCACUGGCCUCCAAGUUUUCUAGGAUGAUGCAAUGUCCAGCCAUCAACACAUUUGUGAAGGAAUUUUUACUCCCCAAAAGAGCGCCCCCCCAUGGCAGGAGAAAAAAGUCCAUUUUUUCUUGUCCCCUAAGGUGAAAAUACACAUUGUUGAGUGUAACACCUGUACGCUUUGGCAAAAUGACACCAAAAUUGACACACACAUGUAUCUCAAUAAGAUCUACAAAAAAGUCAAUGCGCGCGUAUCUGUCAAAUGUACGGUUAAAGGGUUAUUCCGCAUUUUUUGCCGAUCCGCACACAUUGGAAUUUCGUUAACUCCUCCGAAGGCUUUCGUUCCACCGGCACCACAUUUGCUCAGGCCAAUCUACACCCCAUGGCCAUUAAAAGUUAUUCAAAUCAUGACGCUGCACCCCACGGUUUAGGUUCUAGGGGGCGCCAAAGAUAACCGUAAAAUCCACAUAUUUAAAAGUCUUAUAACUUUUUAUUUUUGUCCCCACUGGCCUCCAAGUUUUCUAGGAUGAUGCAAUGUCCAGCCAUCAACACAUUUGUGAAGGAAUUUUUACUCGCCAAAAGAGUGCCCCCCCAUGGCAGGAGAAAAAAGUCAAUUUUUUCUUGUCCACUAAGGUGAAAAUACACAUUGUUGAGUGCUACGCCUGUAUGUUUUGUCGUAUUGACACAAAAAUUGACAAUCAUGUGUAUCUCAAUUAGAUCUACGAAAAAGUCAAAGAGCGCGUAUUUGUAUAAUGUACGGUUAAAGGGCUAUUUUGCAUUUUUUGCCGAUUCGCACACAUUGGAAUGUGGCUAUCUCCUCCUAAGGCUUUCGUCCCACCGAUACCAAAUUUGCUCAGGGCAAUCUACACCCCAUGCCCAUUCAAAGUUGUAAAAAUCAUGGCGCUGCACCCCACGGUUUACGUUCUAGGGGGCGCCAAAGAUGACCCAAAAAUCCACAUUCUUAAAAGUCAUUUUGGCCACUGCAGGAGUACAGAGUACUGCAGUUCUAGGGGGCGCCAAAGAUGACCCAAAAAUCCACAUUCUUAAAAGUCUUUUUGGCCACUGCAGGAGUACAGAGUACUGCAGGAUACACACACAUAUACACACACGCCAACAUACACACACACACACACACACACACACACACACACACACACUCAGAGUCUGUUUUUUAGCACCUGCAAAAACAUGCUGUUUACAUAUUUGACAAGAAUGCAGAGGCUUCCUUUUGCCCCUGAAAAAAAUCAAAUUUCAAACACAACUUGACUGUUCAUUUCUCCAAAAGACAACCAUGAAGCUCCAUCCAAACCUGAAGCAGAUAGUUGGUGCAUGUGUACAGUAACCUGAGGGGAGUGAGGUGACUAUUUCUGAGGAGAACAUGAGCAGUGAAGAUUCACCUUGGAGCUAGAACAGGGACGUGCACAUGAUUAUACAGGGGCAGGGGCUCAAGUUUUUUCCAGUCAUUUAUACAAUAUGGAAAUUAAUGUGAAAUUAAACCACAAAUAUGUGUGAUGAACUGUUUUUAAAACUUAAACUUCAAAUAAAAAUUGUAAACUUCAAAACAUAUGCAAAUUUUUAACAAAGAACAUAGUAAUUUACCUCUAUUUACAUCAAAAUGCAGGCAAUGGCCCAGGCGUUCUUUGUAAAAUUAUUUACAAAACACUGUAUAGUCUCACAAAUGUCACUUUUUAUUUAUGCCACUACAAAAAAACAUGAUGUAAAUGAUGCAUGAUGUAAAACAUGAUGUAAAAAACUUGUGUAGAUCCUCCUCUAUGUCAGUCCAUGUGUAAUUUUUCCAUAAUUCUUUGUUUUUUGCAGCAUUUUUGUUAGUGUAACUGCAGAUUGUGCUGACAGUGUCUAUGGCACACAAAAAAAAAAAAAUUAAAAUGCCUCAACAUGAACCCCUGGUGGUCUCUGAGGGUGAAACCUGCUAACUGCUGCAGCUCUGUCAGCUUCAGUCUCCCAUGCAGAGCUCUGAGCGCAUGUGUGGCUCUGCACCCUUAGCAGCGUUGCUAACUCCUCAGUAAGGAAAGCCUGCUUCAUGUCAGAGUCUCUAAACUCCAGAAGAAGUCGAUAAGUGAAAGCAACACGCACUGGCAGGAAGAACAGCAAACGCCGAUGAAGGAAAAGGGUCUUUGCAGUGAUGGGCGUUACCAGAGAGGGCGAUGGCCAGAGGACACAAAUGGGACGGGAAGGCAGCACGUUGGGGGGGGGGGAGGGACGCGACACGGCUCGGGCCCGCCAGUGCCCCAACGGGGUCCUAGUUAGGGCCCGAGCGUAGCUGCUAAGCAGCUGCGAGAGCCCUCUUGUUCCUGAUGGAUUCUUCUUUUUAGGGCCCGAGCGUAGCUGCUAAGCAGCUGCGAGAGCCCUCUUGUUCCUGUAGUUUCCUUCUUUUGUUAUUAUUAUUAUUAUUAUUUUUCCUCCCCUUUGAACUGGAAAAUGGCCCACUUCCCACUGGCGAAAACUCAUGAAAUUUGGCAGGACGACCGGGCCUGGUGAAAAAUUUGAUAUUCCGAAGUCGCCCAAACAAGAAAAUGCAAAAUGGCUCCAUAGCGCCCCCUAAGGUGAAAAUUCACACUAUUCACUGUCACGCCUGUACGCUUUGUCAAAAUGACACAAAAAUUGACACACACAUGUAUCUCAAUAAGAUCUACAAAAAAGUCAGUGCGGGCGUAUCUGUCAAAUGUACGUUUAAAGGGUUAUUUCGCAUUUUUUGCCGAUCCGCACACAUUGGAAUUUCGCUAACUCCUCCGAAGGCUUUCGUUCCACCGGCACCACAUUUGCUCAGGCCAAUCUACACCCCAUGGCCAUUAAAAGUUAUUCAAAUCAUGACGCUGCACCCCACGGUUUAGGUUCUAGGGGGCGCCAAAGAUAACCCUAAGAUCCACAUAUUUAAAAGUCUUAUAACUUUUUAUUUUUGCCCUCACUGGCCUCCAAGUUUUCUAGGAUGAUGCAAUGUCCAGCCAUCAACACAUUUGUGAAGGAAUUUUUACUCCCCAAAAGAGCGCCCCCCCAUGGCAGGAGAAAAAAGUCCAUUUUUUCUUGUCCCCUAAGGUGAAAAUACACAUUGUUGAGUGUAACACCUGUACGCUUUGGCAAAAUGACACCAAAAUUGAGACACACAUGUAUCUCAAUAAGAUCUACAAAAAAGUCAAUGCGCACGUAUCUGUCAAAUGUACGGUUAAAGGGUUAUUCCGCAUUUUUUGCCGAUCCGCACACAUUGGAAUUUCGCUAACUCCUCCGAAGGCUUUCGUUCCACCGGCACCACAUUUUCUCAGGCCAAUCUACACCCCAUGGCCAUUAAAAGUUAUUCAAAUCAUGACGCUGCACCCCACGGUUUAGGUUCUAGGGGGCGCCAAAGAUAACCGUAAAAUCCACAUAUUUAAAAGUCUUAUAACUUUUUAUUUUUGUCCCCACUGGCCUCCAAGUUUUCUAGGAUGAUGCAAUGUCCAGCCAUCAACACAUUUGUGAAGGAAUUUUUACUCGCCAAAAGAGCGCCCCCCAUGGCAGGAGAAAAAAGUCCAUUUUUUCUUGUCCACUAAGGUGAAAAUACACAUUGUUGAGUGCUACGCCUGUAUGUUUUGUCGUAUUGACACAAAAUUUUACAUACACGUGUCUUUCAAUAAGAUCUUGGAAAAAGUCAAUGGCCACGUAUCUGUAAAAUGUACGGUUAAAGGGUUAUUUCGCAUUUUUUGCAGAUUCGCACACAUUGGAAUUUCGCUAACUCCUCCGAAGGCUUUCGUUCCACCGGCACCACAUUUGCUCAGGCCAAUCUACACCCCAUGGCCAUUAAAAGUUAUUCAAAUCAUGACGCUGCACCCCACGGUUUAGGUUCUAGGGGGCGCCAAAGAUAACCCUAAAAUCCACAUAUUUAAAAGUCUUAUAACUUUUUAUUUUUGUCCUCACUGGCCUCCAUGUUUUCUAGGAUGAUGCAAUGUCCAGCCAUCAACACAUUUGUGAAGGAGUUUUUUCUCGUUAAAAGAGCGCCCCCCCAUGGCAGGAGAAUAAAGUCAAGUUUUUCCUGUUCAUCAUUCAAUGGCUCAAACGCACUGCUCUCUCGGCAAAAGCGAAAGGAGGAGCAACUUGCCAUUUGGAUAUAUCUUAGCUGUGUUUGUGCCCUCACUCAUGGUCCAGACUUUUUUCAAAUAGGACAUGGACUUUUUCUGCAGCGAGCGUUUUGGUAGAAACUGCGCCUCCCGUUCAUUUUAAUGGUAAAUGACCACAAACAAGUGCGCACACCAUCUUUGGACCUUGAGUGUGACGCGAUCGGGUGGGGGAGGCGGUCGUGCUGGGGGCGGCGUGACACGGCUCGGGCCCGCCAGUGCCCCAACGGGGCCCUAGUGUUAUUAUUAUUAUUAUUAUUUUUCCUCCGCUUUAAACUGGAAAAUGGCCCACUUCCCACUGGCGAAAACUCAGGAAAUUUGGCAGGACGACCGGGCCUGGUGAAAAAUUCGAUAUUCUGAAGUCGCCCAAACAAUAAAAUACAAAAUGGCUCCAUAGCGCCCCCUAAGGUGAAAAUUCACACUAUUGACUGUCACGCCUGUAGGCUUUGUCAUAUUGACACAAAAAUUGACACACACAUGUAUCUCAAUAAGAUCUACAAAAAAGUCAGUGCGGGCGUAUCUGUCAAAUGUACGGUUAAAGGGUUAUUUCGCAUUUUUUGCAGAUCCGCACACAUUGGAAUUUCGCUAACUCCUCCGAAGGCUUUCGGUCCACCGGCACCACAUUUGCUCAGGCCAAUCUACACUCCAUGGCCAUUCAAAGUUGUACAAAUCAUGAUGCUGCACCCCAUGGUUUAGGUUCUAGGGGACGCCAAAAAUAACCCUAAAAUCCACAUUCUUAAAAGUUUUAUAACUUUUUAUUUUUGCCCUCACUGGCCUCCAAGUUUUCUAGGAUGAUGCAAUGUCCAGCCAUCAACACAUUUGUGAAGGAAUUUUUACUCCCCAAAAGAGCGCCCCCCCAUGGCAGGACAAAAAAGUCAAUUUUUUCUUGUCCCCUAAGGUGAAAAUACACAUUGUUGAAUGUCACGCCUGUACGCUUUGUCAUAUUGACACAAAAUUUGACAAUCACGUGUAUCUCAAUAAGAUCUACGAAAAAGUCAAUGCGCGCGUAUCUGUAAAAUGUACGGUUAAAGGGCUAUUUCGCAUUUUUUGCCGAUUCGCACACAUUGGAAUGUGGCUAACUCCUCCUAAGGCUUUCGUCCCACUGACACCAAAUUUGCUCAGGCCAAUCUACACCCCAUGGCCAUUCAAAGUUGUAAAAAUCAUGACGCUGCACCCCAUGGUCUACGUUCUAGGGGGCGCCAAAGAGGACCCAAAUAUCCACAUUUUUAAAAGUCUUAUAACUUUUUAUUUUUGUCCUCACUGGCCUCCAAGUUUUCUAGGAUGAUGCAAUGUCCAGCCAUCAACACAUUUGUGAAGGAAUUUUUUCUCCCCAAAAGAGCGCCCCCCCAUGGCAGGAGAAAAAGUCAAGUUUUUCCUGCCCAUCGCUCAAUGGCUCAAACGCAUCGCUCUCUCGGCAAAACCGAAAGGAGGAGCAACUUGCCAUUUGGAUAUAUACUAGCUGUGUUUGUGCCCUCACUCAUGGUCCAGACUUUUUUCAAAAAGGACAUGGAGUUUGUCUGCAGCGAGCGUUUUGGUAGAAACUGCGCCUCCCAUUCAUUAUAAUGGUAAAUGACCACAGACAAGUGCGCACACCAUCUUUGGACCUUGAGUGUGACGCGAUCGGGAGGGGUAGGCGGUCGCGCUGGGGGCGGCGUGACACGGCUCGGGCCCGCCAGUGCCCCACCGGGGCCCUAGUUAUUAUUUUUCCUCCGCUUUAAACUGGAAAAUGGCCGACUUCCCACUGGCGAAAACUCAUGAAAUUUGGCAGGACGACCGGGCCUGGUGAAAAAUUUGAUAUUCCGCAGUCGCCCAAACAAGAAAAUGCAAAAUGGCUCCAUAGCGCCCCCUAAGGUGAAAAUUCACACUAUUGAAUGUCACGCCUGUACGCUUUGUCAAAAUGACACAAAAAUUGACACACACAUGUAUCUCAAUAAGAUCUACAAAAAAGUCAGUGCGGGCGUAUCUGUCAAAUGUACGGUUAAAGGGUUAUUUCGCAUUUUUUGCCGAUCCGCACACAUUGGAAUUUCGCUAACUCCUCCGAAGGCUUUCGUUCCACCGGCACCACAUUUGCUCAGGCCAAUCUACACCCCAUGGCCAUUAAAAGUUAUUCAAAUCAUGACGCUGCACCCCACGGUUUAGGUUCUAGGGGGCGCCAAAGAUAACCCUAAGAUCCACAUAUUUUAAAGUCUUAUAACUUUUUAUUUUUGUCCCCACUGGCCUCCAAGUUUUCUAGGAUGAUGCAAUGUCCAGCCAUCAACACAUUUGUGAAGGAAUUUUUACUCCCCAAAAGAGCGCCCCCCCAUGGCAGGAGAAAAAAGUCCAUUUUUUCUUGUCCCCUAAGGUGAAAAUACACAUUGUUGAGUGUAACACCUGUACGCUUUGGCAAAAUGACACCAAAAUUGACACACACAUGUAUCUCAAUAAGAUCUACAAAAAAGUCAAUGCGCGCGUAUCUGUCAAAUGUACGGUUAAAGGGUUAUUCCGCAUUUUUUGCCGAUCCGCACACAUUGGAAUUUCGUUAACUCCUCCGAAGGCUUUCGUUCCACCGGCACCACAUUUGCUCAGGCCAAUCUACACCCCAUGGCCAUUAAAAGUUAUUCAAAUCAUGACGCUGCACCCCACGGUUUAGGUUCUAGGGGGCGCCAAAGAUAACCGUAAAAUCCACAUAUUUAAAAGUCUUAUAACUUUUUAUUUUUGUCCCCACUGGCCUCCAAGUUUUCUAGGAUGAUGCAAUGUCCAGCCAUCAACACAUUUGUGAAGGAAUUUUUACUCGCCAAAAGAGUGCCCCCCCAUGGCAGGAGAAAAAAGUCAAUUUUUUCUUGUCCACUAAGGUGAAAAUACACAUUGUUGAGUGCUACGCCUGUAUGUUUUGUCGUAUUGACACAAAAAUUGACAAUCAUGUGUAUCUCAAUUAGAUCUACGAAAAAGUCAAAGAGCGCGUAUUUGUAUAAUGUACGGUUAAAGGGCUAUUUUGCAUUUUUUGCCGAUUCGCACACAUUGGAAUGUGGCUAUCUCCUCCUAAGGCUUUCGUCCCACCGAUACCAAAUUUGCUCAGGGCAAUCUACACCCCAUGCCCAUUCAAAGUUGUAAAAAUCAUGGCGCUGCACCCCACGGUUUACGUUCUAGGGGGCGCCAAAGAUGACCCAAAAAUCCACAUUCUUAAAAGUCAUUUUGGCCACUGCAGGAGUACAGAGUACUGCAGUUCUAGGGGGCGCCAAAGAUGACCCAAAAAUCCACAUUCUUAAAAGUCUUUUUGGCCACUGCAGGAGUACAGAGUACUGCAGGAUACACACACAUAUACACACACGCCAACAUACACACACACACACACACACACACACACACACACACACACACACACACUCAGAGUCUGUUUUUUAGCACCUGCAAAAACAUGCUGUUUACAUAUUUGACAAGAAUGCAGAGGCUUCCUUUUGCCCCUGAAAAAAAUCAAAUUUCAAACACAACUUGACUGUUCAUUUCUCCAAAAGACAACCAUGAAGCUCCAUCCAAACCUGAAGCAGAUAGUUGGUGCAUGUGUACAGUAACCUGAGGGGAGUGAGGUGACUAUUUCUGAGGAGAACAUGAGCAGUGAAGAUUCACCUUGGAGCUAGAACAGGGACGUGCACAUGAUUAUACAGGGGCAGGGGCUCAAGUUUUUUCCAGUCAUUUAUACAAUAUGGAAAUUAAUGUGAAAUUAAACCACAAAUAUGUGUGAUGAACUGUUUUUAAAACUUAAACUUCAAAUAAAAAUUGUAAACUUCAAAACAUAUGCAAAUUUUUAACAAAGAACAUAGUAAUUUACCUCUAUUUACAUCAAAAUGCAGGCAAUGGCCCAGGCGUUCUUUGUAAAAUUAUUUACAAAACACUGUAUAGUCUCACAAAUGUCACUUUUUAUUUAUGCCACUACAAAAAAACAUGAUGUAAAUGAUGCAUGAUGUAAAACAUGAUGUAAAAAACUUGUGUAGAUCCUCCUCUAUGUCAGUCCAUGUGUAAUUUUUCCAUAAUUCUUUGUUUUUUGCAGCAUUUUUGUUAGUGUAACUGCAGAUUGUGCUGACAGUGUCUAUGGCACACAAAAAAAAAAAAAUUAAAAUGCCUCAACAUGAACCCCUGGUGGUCUCUGAGGGUGAAACCUGCUAACUGCUGCAGCUCUGUCAGCUUCAGUCUCCCAUGCAGAGCUCUGAGCGCAUGUGUGGCUCUGCACCCUUAGCAGCGUUGCUAACUCCUCAGUAAGGAAAGCCUGCUUCAUGUCAGAGUCUCUAAACUCCAGAAGAAGUCGAUAAGUGAAAGCAACACGCACUGGCAGGAAGAACAGCAAACGCCGAUGAAGGAAAAGGGUCUUUGCAGUGAUGGGCGUUACCAGAGAGGGCGAUGGCCAGAGGACACAAAUGGGACGGGAAGGCAGCACGUUGGGGGGGGGGGAGGGACGCGACACGGCUCGGGCCCGCCAGUGCCCCAACGGGGUCCUAGUUAUUAUUUUUCCUCCGCUUUAAACUGGAAAAUGGCCGACUUCCCACUGGCGAAAACUCAUGAAAUUUGGCAGGACGACCGGGCCUGGUGAAAAAUUCGAUAUUCUGAAGUCGCCCAAACAAUAAAAUGCAAAAUGGCUCCAUAGCGCCCCCUAAGGCGAAAAUUCACACUAUUGACUGUCACGCCUGUACGCUUUGUCAUAUUGACACAAAAAUUGACACACACGUGUAUCUCAAUACGUUCUACGAAAAAGUCAGCGCGGGCGCAUCUGUGAAAUGUACAGUUAGAGGGUUAUUUCGCAUUUUUUGCCGAUCUGCACACAUUGGAAUUUCGCUAACUCCUCCGAAGGCAUUCGUUCCACCGGCACCACAUUUGCUCAGGCCAAUCUACACCCCAUGGCCAUUAAAAGUUGUACAAAUCAUGACGCUGCACCCCACAGUUUACGUUCUAGGGGGCGCCAAAGAUAACCCAAAAAUCCACAGUCUUAAAAGUCUUAUAACUUUUUAUUUUUGUCCUCACUGGCCUCCAAGUUCUCUAGGAUGAUGCAAUGUCCAGCCAUCAACACAUUUGUGAAGGAAUUUUUACUCCCCAAAAGAGCGCCCCCACAUGGCAGGAGAAAAAAGUCCAUUUUUUCUUGUCCCCUAAGGUGAAAAUACACAUUGUUGAGUGUCACGCCUAUACGCUUUGUCAUAUUGACCCAAAAUUUGACAAUCACGUGUAUCUCAAUAAGAUCUACGAAAAAGUCAAUGGGCACGUAUCUGUAAAAUGUAUGGUUAAAGGGCUAUUUCGCAUUUUUUGCAGAUUCGCACACAUUGGAAUGUGGCUAACUCCUCCUAAGGCUUUCUUCCCACCGACACCAAAUUUGCUCAAGCCGAUCUACAUCCCAUGGCCAUUCAAAGUUGUAAAAAUCAUGCCGCUGCACCCCAUGGUUUACGUUCUAGGGGGCGCCAAAGAUGACCCAAAUAUCCACAUUCUUAAAAGUCGUUUUGGCCACUGCAGGAGUACAGAGUACUGCAGGAUACACACACACAGACACACACAAACACAGACACACACACACACACACACACACACACACACACACACACACACACACACACACACACACACAGAGUCUGUUUUUUAGCACCUGCAAAAACAUGCUAUUUACAUAUUUGACAACAAUGCAGAGGCUCCUUUUGCCCCUGAAAAAAAUCAAAUUUCAAACACAACUUGACUGGUCAUUUCUCCAAAAGACAACCAUGAAGCUCCAUCCAAACCUGAAGCAGGCAGUUGGUGCAUGUGUACAGUUACCUGAGGGGAGUGAGGUGAGUGCUUCUGAGGAGAACAUGAGCAGUGAAGAUUCACCUUGGAGCGAGAACAGGGACGUGCACAUGAUUAUACAGGGGCAGGGGCUCAAGUUUUUUCCAGUCGUUUAUACAAUAUGGAAAUUAAUGUGAAAUUAAAAAACAAAGUAUUAAUAGAAAGGUAAUGACUGUCCUGUGUAGGUGACAGUGAUAUCCAAUAGGCUAGGCACUCACGAGGCUGGCUGUGGCAAGUGUAAGUGAAAGCAACACGCACUGGCAGGAAGAACAGCAAACGCCGAUGAAGGAAAAGGGUCUUUGCAGUGAUGGGCGUUACCAGAGAGGACGAUGGCCAGAGGACGCGAAUGGGACGGGGAGGCAGCGCAUUGGUGGGGGGGGGGGGGGCGCGACACAGCUCGGGCCCGCCAGUGCCCCAACGGGGCCCUAGUUUCUUUUUAGGGCCCGAGCGUAGCUGCUAAGCAGCUGCGAGAGCCCUCUUGUUCCUGAUGGAUUCUUCUUUCGUUAUUUUUCCUCCGCUUUAAACUGGAAAAUGGCCCACUUCCCACUGGCGAAAACUCAUGAAAUUUGGCAGGACGACCGGGCCUGGUGAAAAAUUUGAUAUUCUGAAGUCGUCCAAACAAAAAAAUGAAAAAUGGCUCCAUAGCGCCCCCUAUGGUGAAAACUCACCUGAUGCCUGUACGCUUUGUCAAAAUGACACAAAAUUUGACACACAUGUGUAUCUCAAUAAGAUCUACGAAAAAGUCAGUGCGGGCGUAUCUGCCAAAUGUACGGUUAAAGGGCUAUUUCGCUUUUUUUGCCGAUCCGCACACAUUGGAAUUUCGCUAACUCCUCCGAAGGCUUUCGUUCCACCGGCACCAAAUUUGCUCAGGCCAAUCUACACCCCAUGGCCAUUAAAAGUUGUAAAAAUCAUGAUGCUGCACCCCACGGUUUACUUUCUAGGGGGCGCCAAAGAUAACACAAAAUCCACAUUCUUAAAAGUCAUUUUGGCCACUGCAGGAGUACAGAGUACUGCAGUUCUAGGGGGCGCCAAAGAUGACCCAAAAAUCCACAUUCUUAAAAGUCUUUUUGGCCACUGCAGGAGUACAGAGUACUGCCGGACACACACACAUAUACACACACGCCAACACACACACACACACACACACACACACACAGACAGACACACUCAGAGUCUGUUUUUUAGCACCUGCAAAAACAUGCUGUUUACAUAUUUGACAAGAAUGCAGAGGCUUCCUUUUGCCCCUGAAAAAAAUCAAAUUUCAAACACAACUUGACUGUUCAUUUCUCCAAAAGACAACCAUGAAGCUCCAUCCAAACCUGAAGCAGAUAGUUGGUGCAUGUGUACAGUAACCUGAGGAGAGUGAGGUGACUACUUCUGAGGAGAACAUGAGCAGUGAAGAUUCACCUUGGAGCUAGAACAGGGACGUGCACAUGAUUAUACAGGGGCAGGGGCUCAAGUUUUUUCCAGUCAUUUAUACAAUAUGGAAAUUAAUGUGAAAUUAAACCACAAAUAUGUGUGAUGAACUGUUUUUAAAACUUAAACUUCAAAUAAAAAUUGUAAACUUCAAAACAUAUGCAAAUUUUUAACAAAGAACAUAGUAAUUUACCUCUAUUUACAUCAAAAUGCAGGCAAUGGCCCAGGCGUUCUUUGUAAAAUUAUUUACAAAACACUGUAUAGUCUCACAAAUGUCACUUUUUAUUUAUGCCACUACAAAAAAACAUGAUGUAAAUGAUGCAUGAUGUAAAAAACUUGUGUAGAUCCUCCUCUAUGUCAGUCCAUGUGUAAUUUUUCCAUAAUUCUUUGUUUUUUGCAGCAUUUUUGUUAGUGUAACUGCAGAUUGUGCUGACAGUGUCUAUGGCAAAAAAAAAAAAAAACUGAAAAUGCCUCAACAUGAACUCCUGGUGGUCUCUGAGGGUGAAACCUGCUAACUGCUGCAGCUCUCUCAGCUCUAGUCUCCCAUGCAGAGCUCGGAGCGCAUGUGUGGCUCUGCACCCUUAGCAGCGUUGCUAACUCCUCAGUAAGGAAAGCCUGCUUCAUGUCAGAGUCUCUAAACUCCAGAGGAAGUCGAUAAAAUUCCCUUUCUUUCUAAAAAAAGUCGUUAGGGGGUCUGAAAAGUCAUUGAAUCUAACAACAAAGUCGCUAGGUUUGCAACUACGUUUCCCAGACUGCAUCCCUGCUGAGAGUUCCUCCCUCCCUUCUCAUAUUGCAGGAAGAACGUAAGCGCCCGCCCCUUGUCAAUCAGUCACCAUAUAAUUUUGGAUUGGUUGUUGUGGUGAAGUUUUCCACCAAUAGGAGAGAUGUUGUGGUGUGUUUUUUUUUCUUUUGGCAUGCCUUUUCCGCCUGUAAGAGCUGUCGCUAAUGUCUGCAUGCUAUGUUUUCCUGUCUCAUACAGCGUGAUCGAGCGCCGAACGUGAUCAAAAUAAGCAGAAAAAAAGUAUCGCGGACAUAAUUUAUCAUAACUCUGGUUUUAUUUGGCCUAUCAACACAAUUUAAAAACUGGUAUAUAGUUUGAGGUCCUCACUUUUGAGAUAAGUUGAAACGGAGGGUGAACGAGGCUCCGUCUUGCAGCUACAUCCGGUUAAAUAUGUCAUGUGACUUGAACGCUGGGGAGCGUCAAUCGACUGCAGAGCCAGCAGACAAAGUAGUUAUGCCACUGAGAGGCACACAUUUGUCAUAUGCUAUAAUCCUAACAUAUUUUAAUGCUUUUUCUAUUUAAACCUAAUGGAUCUAAGGUUUGACCUUCAAAAUUUAGGAAGAAUAUUUUUUUGCAGUAAUGACCCCCUUAAACAACCAGAGGUCCUUUCCUAAAGUUUAUGGAAAUUUUAGUGAAGGCCUUGGUUUCUUUCCUUGCAAAAUGUAUAGAAAUAAUAAAGCUAAAUACCAUAAAAUGGUCUUGGCGUAUUAGCAGUGAUAUAAAAUAGUGGUUUGAAUAUGAAUGAACAACAAAAAAAAACAUCAACAGAGCCUUUUUGAGUUGGGAUUCUUUCAUUAUCACACAAAAACAGACAUAGACAGACAUCUAAAGGGUAAGGGAAUGAUCAGCCCUCCUAACUCUCAGAUGAAUCUUCAAAAUUCACCGCAGAAAUAUGCUUAUUAUUCUUCUCAGAGUACUGCAAAAUAUAUACACACACACAGACACAGACACAGACACAGACACACACACACACACACACACACACACACACACACACACACACACACAGACAGACACACUCAGAGUCUGUUUUUUAGCACCUGCAAAAACAUGCUAUUUACAUAUUUGACAAGAAUGCAGAGGCUCCUUUUGCCCCUGAAAAAAAUCAAAUUUCAAACACAACUUGACUGCUCAUUUCUCCAAAAGACAACCAUGAAGCUCCAUCCAAACCUGAAGCAGGCAGUUGGUGCAUGUGUACAGUAACCUGAGGGGAGUGAGGUGACUGCUUCUGAGGAGAACAUGAGCAGUGAAGAUUCACCUUGGAGCUAGAACAGGGACGUGCACAUGAUUAUACAGGGGCAGGGGCUCAAGUUUUUUCCAGUCAUUUAUACAAUAUGGAAAUUAAUGUGAAAUUAAAAAACAAAGUAUUAAUAGAAAGGUAAUGACUGUCCUGUGUAGAUGACAGUGAUAUCCAAUAGGCUAGGCACUCACGAGGCUGGCUGUGGCAAGUGUAAGUGAAAGCAACACGCACUGGCAGGAAGAACAGCAAACGCCGAUGAAGGAAAAGGGUCUUUGCAGUGAUGGGCGUUACCAGAGAGGGCGAUGGCCAGAGGACACGAAUGGGACGGGGAGGCAGCGCGUUGGGGGGAGGCAGCGCAUUGGGGGGGGGGCGGCGCGACACGGCUCGGGCCCGCCAGUGCCCCAACGGGGCCCUAGUUUCUUUUUCCUCCCCUUUAAACUGGAAAAUGGCCCACUUCCCACUGGCGAAAACUCAUGAAAUUUGGCAGGACGACCGGGCCUGGUGAAAAAUUUGAUAUUCUGAAGUCGCCCAAACAAGAAAAUGCAAAAUGGCUCCAUAGCGCCCCCUAAGGUGAAAAUUCACACUAUUGACUGUCACGCCUGUACGCUUUGUCAAAAUGACACAAAAAUUGACACACACAUGUAUCUCAAUAAGAUCUACAAAAAAGUCAGUGCGGGCGUAUCUGUCAAAUGUACGGUUAAAGGGUUAUUUCGCAUUUUUUGCUGAUCCGCACACAUUGGAAUUUCGCUAACUCCUCCUAAGGCUUUCGUUCCACCAGCACCACAUUUGCUCAGGCCAAUCUACACCCCAUGGCCAUUAAAAGUUAUUCAAAUCAUGACGCUGCACCCCAGGUUUAGGUUCUAGGGGGCGCCAAAGAUAACCCUAAAAUCCACAUAUUUCAAAGUCUUAUAACUUUUUAUUUUUGCCCUCACUAGCCUCCAAUUUUUCUAGGAUGAUGCGAUGUCCAGCCAUCAACACAUUUGUGAAGGAAUUUUUACUCCCCAAAAGAGCGCCCCCCCAUGGCAGGAGAAAAAAGUCAAUUUUUUCUUGUCCCCUAAGGUGAAAAUACACAUUGUAGAGUGUCACGCCUGUACGCUUUGUCAAAAUGACACAAAAAUUGACACACACAUGUGUAUUUCAAUAAGAUCUUCGAAAAAGUCAAUGGCCACGUAUCUGUAAAAUGUACAGUUAAAGGGUUAUUUCGCAUUUUUUGCAGAUCCGCACACAUUGGAAUUUCGCUAACUCCUCCGAAGGCUUUCGUUCCACCGGCACCACAUUUGCUCAGGCCAAUCUACACUCCAUGGCCAUUCAAAGUUGUAAAAAUCAUGACGCUGCACCCCACGGUCUACGUUCUAGGGGGCGCCAAAGAGGACCCAAAUAUCCACAUUUUUAAAAGUCUUAUAACUUUUUAUUUUUGUCCUCACUGGCCUCCAAGUUUUCUAGGAUGAUGCAAUGUCCAGCCAUCAACACAUUUGUGAAGGAAUUUUUACUCCCCAAAAGAGCGCCCCCCCAUGGCAGGAGAAAAAAGUCCAUUUUUUCUUGUCCCCUAAGGUGAAAAUACACAUUGUUGAGUGUCAUGCCUGUACGCUUUGUCAAAAUGACACAAAAUUCGACACACAUGUGUAUCUCAAUAAGAUCUACGAAAAAGUAAAUGCAGGCGUAUCUGUCAGAUGUACGGUUAAAGGGCUAUUUCGCAUUUUUUGCCGAUUCGCACACAUUGGAAUGUAGCUAACUCCUCCUAAGGCUUUCGCUCCACCGGCACCAAAUUUGCUCAGGACAAUCUACACCCCAUGGCCAUUCAAAGUUGUAAAAAUCAUGACGCUGCACCCCACGGUUUAAGUUCUAGGGGGCGCCAAAGAUGACCCAAAUAUCCAUAUUCUUAAAAGUGUUAUAACAUUUUAUUUUUGUCCUCACUGGCCUCCAUGUUUUCUAGGAUGAUGCAAUGUCCAGCCAUCAACACAUUUGUGAAGGAGUUUUUUCUUGUUAAAAGAGCGCCCCACCAUGGCAGGAGAAUAAAGUCAAGUUUUUCCUGUUCAUCGUUCAAUGGCUCAAACGCAUCGCUCUCUCGGCAAAAGCGAAAGGAGGAGCAACUUGCCAUUUGGAUAUAUCUUAGCUGUGUUUGUGCCCUCACUCAUGGUCCAGACUUUUUUCAAAUAGGACAUGGAGUUUUUCUGCAGCGAGCGUUUUGGUAGAAACUGCGCCUCCCAUUCAUUAUAAUGGUAAAUGACCACAGACAAGUGCGCACACCAUCUUUGGACCUUGAGUGUGACGCGAUUGGGUGGGGGAGGCGGUCGCGCUGGGGGCGGCGCGACACGGCUCGGGCCCGCCAGUGCCCCACCGGGGCCCUAGUUAGGGCCCGAGCCAGCUGCAGAGCAGCCGGGCGUAGAGCCCUAUUAUUCCUGUAGUGGUUUUUCUUAGCGCCCCCUAAGGUGAAAAUUCACACUAUUGACUGUCACGCCUGUACGCUUUGUCAAAAUGACACAAAAAUUGACACACACAUGUAUCUCAAUAAGAUCUACAAAAAAGUCAGUGCGGGCGUAUCUGUCAAAUGUACAGUUAAAGGGUUAUUUCGCUUUUUUUGCCGAUCCGCACACAUUGGAAUUUCGCUAACUCCUCCGAAGGCUUUCGUUCCACCGGCACCACAUUUGCUCAGGCCAAUCUACACCCCAUGGCCAUUAAAAGUUAUUCAAAUCAUGACGCUGCACCCCACGGUUUAGGUUCUAGGGGGCGCCAAAGAUAACCCUAAGAUCCACAUAUUUAAAAGUCUUAUAACUUUUUAUUUUUGUCCCCACUGGCCUCCAAGUUUUCUAGGAUGAUGCAAUGUCCAGCCAUCAACACAUUUGUGAAGGAAUUUUUACUCCCCAAAAGAGCGCCCCACCAUGGCAGGAGAAAAAAGUCCAUUUUUUCUUGUCCCCUAAGGUGAAAAUACACAUUGUUGAGUGUAACACCUGUACGCUUUGGCAAAAUGACACCAAAAUUGACACACAUAUGUAUCUCAAUAAGAUCUACAAAAAAGUCAAUGCGCGCGUGUCUGUCAAAUGUACGGUUAAAGGGUUAUUCCGCAUUUUUUGCCGAUCCGCACACAUUGGAAUUUCGCUAACUCCUCCGAAGGCUUUCGUUCCACCGGCACCACAUUUGCUCAGGCCAAUCUACACCCCAUGGCCAUUAAAAGUUAUUCAAAUCAUGACGCUGCACCCCACGGUUUAGGUUCUAGGGGGCGCCAAAGAUAACCCUAAAAUCCACAUAUUUAAAAGUCUUAUAACUUUUUAUUUUUGUCCUCACUGGCCUCCAUGUUUUCUAGGAUGAUGCAAUGUCCAGCCAUCAACACAUUUGUGAAGGAGUUUUUUCUCGUUAAAAGAGCGCCCCCCCAUGGCAGGAGAAUAAAGUCAAGUUUUUCCUGUUCAUCAUUCAAUGGCUCAAACGCACUGCUCUCUCGGCAAAAGCGAAAGGAGGAGCAACUUGCCAUUUGGAUAUAUCUUAGCUGUGUUUGUGACCUCACUCAUGGUCCAGACUUUUUUCAAAUAGGACAUGGAGUUUUUCUGCAGCGAGCGUUUUGGUAGAAACUGCGCCUCCCGUUCAUUAUAAUGGUAAAUGACCACAAACAAGUGCGCACACCAUCUUUGAACCUUGAGUGUGACGCGAUCGGGUGGGGGAGGCGGUCGCGCUGGGGGCGGCAUGACACGGCUCGGGCCCGCCAGUGCCCCAACGGGGCCCUAGUUAGGGCCCGAGCGUAGCUGCUAAGCAGCUGCGAGAGCCCUAUUAUUCCCCAAGUGGUUUUUCUUUGUUUGUUUCUUUCUUUCUUUCUUUCUUUAGGGCCCGAGCGUAGCUGCUAAGCAGCUGCGAGAGCCCUAUUAUUCCCCAAGUGGUUUUUCUUUGUUUCUUUCUUUCUUUCUUCUUUUUCCUCCCCUUUGAACUGGAAAAUGGCCCACUUCCCAAUGGCGAAAACUCAUGAAAUUUGGCAGGACGACCGGGCCUGGUGAAAAAUUCGAUAUUCUGAAGUCGCCCAAACAAUAAAAUGCAAAAUGGCUCAAUAGCGCCCCCUAAGGUGGAAAUUCACACUAUUGACUGUCACGCCUGUACGCUUUGUCAUAUUGACACAAAAAUUGACACACAUAUGUAUCUCAAUAAGAUCUACAAAAAAGUCAGUGCGGCCGUAUCUGUCAAAAUUACGGUUAAAGGGUUAUUUGGCAUUUUUUGCCGAUCCGCACACAUUGGAAUUUCGCUAACUUCUCCGAAGGCUUUCGUUCCACCGGCACCACAUUUGCUCAGGCCAAUCUAAACCCCGUGGCCAUUAAAAGUUAUCAAAAUCAUGACGCUGCACCACAAGGUUUAGGUUCUAGGGGGCGCCAAAGAUAACACUAAAAUCCACAUAUUUAAAAGUCUUAUAACUUUUUAUUUUUGUCCUCACUGGCCUCCAAGUUUUCUAGGAUGAUGCAAUGUCCAGCCAUCAACACAUUUGUGAAGGAAUUUUUACUCCCCAAAAGAGCGCCCCCCCAUGGCAGGAGAAAAAAGUCCAUUUUUUCUUGUCCCCUAAGGUGAAAAUACACAUUGUUGAGUGUCACGCCUAUACGCUUUGUCAAAAUGACACAAAAAUUGACACACACGUAACUCAAUAAGAUCUACGAAAAAGUCAAUGCGCGCGUAUCUGUCAAAUGUACGGUUAAAGGGUUAUUCCGCAUUUUUUGCCGAUCCGCACACAUUGGAAUGUGGCUAACUCCUCCUAAGGCUUUCGUUCCACCGGCACCACAUUUGCUCAGGCCAAUCUACACCCCAUGGCCAUUAGAAGUUAUCAAAAUCAUGACGCUGCACCCCAAGGUUUAGGUUCUAGGGGGCGCCAAAGAUAACACUAAAAUCCACAUAUUUAAAAGUCUUAUAACUUUUUAUUUUUGUCCUCACUGGCCUCCAAGUUUUCUAGGAUGAUGCAAUGUCCAGCCAUCAACACAUCUGUGAAGGAAUUUUUACUCGCCAAAAGAGCGCCCCCCCCCCAUGGCAGGAGAAAAAAGUCCAUUUUUUCUUGUCCCCUAAGGUGAAAAUACACAUUGUUGAGUGUCACGCCUGUACGCUUUGGCAAAAUGACACAAAAAUUGACACACACAUGUAUCUCAAUAAGAUCUACAAAAAAGUCCACGCGCGCGUAUCUGUCAAAUGUACGGUUAAAGGGUUAUUCCGCAUUUUUUGCCGAUACGCACACAUUGGAAUUUCGCUAACUCCUCCGAAGGCUUUCGUUCCACCGGCACCACAUUUGCUCAGGCCAAUCUACACCCCAUGGCCAUUAAAAGUUAUUCAAAUCAUGAUGCUGCACCCCAUGGUUUAGGUUCUAGGGGGCGCCAAAAAUAACCCAAAAAUCCACAUUCUUAAAUGUUUUAUAACUUUUUUUUUUUGUCCUCACUGGCCUCCAAGUUUUCUAGGAUGAUGCAAUGUCCAGCCAUCAACACAUUUGUGAAGGAAUUUUUACUCCCCAAAAGAGCGCCCCCCCAUGGUAGGAGAAAAAAGUCAAUUUUUUCUUGUCCCCUUACAUGAAAAUACACAUUGUUGAGUGUCACGCCUGAACGCUAUGUCAUAUUGACACAAAAAUUGACAAUCAUGUGUAUCUCAAUUAGAUCUACGAAAAAGUCAAUGCGCGUAUCUGUAUAAUGUACGGUUAAAGGGCUAUUUUGCAUUUUUUGCCGAUUCGCACACAUUGGAAUGUGGCUAACUCCUCCUAAAUCUUUUGUCCCAUCGGCUUCAAAUUUGCUCAGGUCAAUCUACACCCCAUGGCCAUUCAAAGUUGUACAAAUCAUGACGCUGCACCCCACAGUUUACGUUCUAGGGGGCGCCAAAGAGGACCCAAAUAUCCACAUUUUUAAAAGUCUUAUAACUUUUUAUUUUUGUCCUCACUGGCCUCCAAGUUUUCUAGGAUGAUGCAAUGUCCAGCCAUCAACACAUUUGUGAAGGAAUUUUUUCUCCCCAAAAGAGCGCCCCCCCAUGGCAGGAGAAAAAGUCAAGUUUUUCCUGCCCAUCGCUCAAUGGCUCAAACGCAUCGCUCUCUCGGCAAAACCGAAAGGAGGAGCAACUUGCCAUUUGGAUAUAUACUAGCUGUGUUUGUGCCCUCACUCAUGGUCCAGACUUUUUUCAAAAAGGACAUGGAGUUUGUCUGCAGCGAGCGUUUUGGUAGAAACUGCGCCUCCCAUUCAUUAUAAUGGUAAAUGACCACAGACAAGUGCGCACACCAUCUUUGGACCUUGAGUGUGACGCGAUCGGGAGGGGUAGGCGGUCGCGCUGGGGGCGGCGCGACACGGCUCGGGCCCGCCAGUGCCCCAACGGGGCCCUAGUUCUUUCUUUCUUCUUUUUCCUCCCCUUUGAACUGGAAAAUGGCCCACUUCCCACUGGCGAAAACUCAUGAAAUUUGGCAGGACGACCGGGCCUGGUGAAAAAUUCGAUAUUCUGAAGUCGCCCAAACAAGAAAAUGCAAAAUGGCUCCAUAGCGCCCCCUAAGGUGGAAAUUCACACUAUUGACUGUCACGCCUGUACGCUUUGUCAUAUUGACACAAAAAUUGACACACAUAUGUAUCUCAAUAAGAUCUACAAAAAAGUCAGUGCGGCCGUAUCUGUCAAAAUUACGGUUAAAGGGUUAUUUCGCAUUUUUUUCCGAUCCGCACACAUUGGAAUUUCGCUAACUCCUCCGAAGGCUUUCGUUCCACCGGCACCACAUUUGCUCAGGCCAAUCUACACCCCGUGGCCAUUAAAAGUUAUUCAAAUCAUGACGCUGCACCCCAAGGUUUAGGUUCAAGGGGGCGCCAAAGAUAACACUAAAAUCCACAUAUUUAAAAGUCUUAUAACUUUUUAUUUUUGUCCUCACUGGCCUCCAAGUUUUCUAGGAUGAUGCAAUGUCCAGCCAUCAACACAUUUGUGAAGGAAUUUUUACUCCCCAAAAGAGCGCCCCCCAUGGCAGGAGAAAAAAGUCCAUUUUUUCUUGUCCCCUAAGGUGAAAAUACACAUUGUUGAGUGUAACACCUGUACGCUUUGGCAAAAUGACACAAAAAUUGACACACACAUGUAUCUCAAUAAGAUCUACGAAAAAGUCAAUGCGCGCGUAUCUGUCAAAUGUACGGUUAAAGGGUUAUUCCGCAUUUUUUGCCGAUCCGCACACAUUGGAAUUUCGCUAACUCCUCCGAAGGCUUUCGUUCCACCGGCACCACAUUUGCUCAGGCCAAUCUACACCCCAUGGCCAUUAAAAGUUAUUCAAAUCAUGACGCUGCACCCCACGGUUUAGGUUCUAGGGGGCGCCAAAGAUAACCGUAAAAUCCACAUAUUUAAAAGUCUUAUAACUUUUUAUUUUUGUCCCCACUGGCCUCCAAGUUUUCUAGGAUGAUGCAAUGUCCAGCCAUCAACACAUUUGUGAAGGAAUUUUUACUCGCCAAAAGAGCGCCCCCCCAUGGCAGGAGAAAAAAGUCCAUUUUUUCUUGUCCACUAAGGUGAAAAUACACAUUAUUGAGUGCUACGCCUGUAUGUUUUGUCGUAUUGACACAAAAUUUUACAUACACGUGUAUUUCAAUAAGAUCUUCGAAAAAGUCAAUGGCCACGUAUCUGUAAAAUGUACGGUUAAAGGGUUAUUUCGCAUUUUUUGCAGAUUCGCACACAUUGGAAUUUCGCUAAAUCCUCCGAAGGCUUUCGUUCCACCGGCACCACAUUUGCUCAGGCCAAUCUACACCCCAUGGCCAUUAAAAGUUAUUCAAAUCAUGACGCUGCACCCCACGGUUUAGGUUCUAGGGGGCGCCAAAGAUAACCCUAAAAUCCACAUAUUUAAAAGUCUUAUAACUUUUUAUUUUUGUCCUCACUGGCCUCCAUGUUUUCUAGGAUGAUGCAAUGUCCAGCCAUCAACACAUUUGUGAAGGAGUUUUUUCUCGUUAAAAGAGCACCCCCCCAUGGCAGGAGAAUAAAAUCAAGUUUUUCCUGUUCAUCAUUCAAUGGCUCAAACGCACUGCUCCCUCGGCAAAAGCGAAAGGAGGAGCAACUUGCCAUUUGGAUAUAUCUUAGCUCUGUUUGUGCCCUCACUCAUGGUCCAGACUUUUUUCAAAUAGGACAUGGAGUUUUUCUGCAGCGAGCGUUUUGGUAGUAACUGCGCCUCCCAUUCAUUAUAAUGGUAAAUGACCACAAACAAGUGCGCACACCAUCUUUGGACCUUGAGUGUGACGCGAUCGGGUGGGGGAGGCGGUCGCGCUGAGGGCGGCGUGACAUGGCUCGGGCCCGCCAGUGCCCCAACGGGGCCCUAGUUAUUUUUGUCCCCACUGGCCUCCAAGUUUUCUAGGAUGAUGCAAUGUCCAGCCAUCAACACAUUUGUGAAGGAAUUUUUACUCCCCAAAAGAGCGCCCCACCAUGGCAGGAGAAAAAAGUCCAUUUUUUCUUGUCCCCUAAGGUGAAAAUACACAUUGUUGAGUGUAACACCUGUACGCUUUGGCAAAAUGACACCAAAAUUGACACACACAUGUAUCUCAAUAAGAUCUACAAAAAAGUCAAUGCGCGCGUAUCUGUCAAAUGUACGGUUAAAGGGUUAUUCCGCAUUUUUUGCCGAUCCGCACACAUUGGAAUUUCGCUAACUCCUCCGAAGGCUUUCGUUCCACCGGCACCACAUUUGCUCAGGCCAAUCUACACCCCAUGGCCAUUAAAAGUUAUUCAAAUCAUGACGCUGCACCCCACGGUUUAGGUUCUAGGGGGCGCCAAAGAUAACCCUAAAAUCCACAUAUUUAAAAGUCUUAUAACUUUUUAUUUUUGUCCUCACUGGCCUCCAUGUUUUCUAGGAUGAUGCAAUGUCCAGCCAUCAACACAUUUGUGAAGGAGUUUUUUCUCGUUAAAAGAGCGCCCCCCCAUGGCAGGAGAAUAAAGUCAAGUUUUUCCUGUUCAUCAUUCAAUGGCUCAAACGCACUGCUCUCUCGGCAAAAGCGAAAGGAGGAGCAACUUGCCAUUUGGAUAUAUCUUAGCUGUGUUUGUGACCUCACUCAUGGUCCAGACUUUUUUCAAAUAGGACAUGGAGUUUUUCUGCAGCGAGCGUUUUGGUAGAAACUGCGCCUCCCGUUCAUUAUAAUGGUAAAUGACCACAAACAAGUGCGCACACCAUCUUUGAACCUUGAGUGUGACGCGAUCGGGUGGGGGAGGCGGUCGCGCUGGGGGCGGCGUGACACGGCUCGGGCCCGCCAGUGCCCCAACGGGGCCCUAGUUAGGGCCCGAGCGUAGCUGCUAAGCAGCUGCGAGAGCCCUAUUAUUCCCCAAGUGGUUUUUUAGGGCCCGAGCCAGCUGCAGAGCAGCCGGGCGUAGGCCCUAUUAUUCCCCAAGUGGUUUUUAGGGCCCGAGCCAGCUGCAGAGCAGCCGGGCGUAGGCCCUAUUAUUCCCCAAGUGGUUUUUCUUUGUUUCUUUCUUUCUUUCUUUCUUUCUUCUUUUUCCUCCCCUUUGAACUGGAAAAUGGCCCACUUCCCACUGGCGAAAACUCAUGAAAUUUGGCAGGACGACCGGGCCUGGUGAAAAAUUCGAUAUUCUGAAGUCGCCCAAACAAUAAAAUGCAAAAUGGCUCCAUAGCGCCCCCUAAGGUGGAAAUUCACACUAUUGACUGUCACGCCUGUACGCUUUGUCAUAUUGACACAAAAAUUGACACACAUAUGUAUCUCAAUAAGAUCUACAAAAAAGUCAGUGCGGCCGUAUCUGUCAAAAUUACGGUUAAAGGGUUAUUUCGCAUUUUUUGCCGAUCCGCACACAUUGGAAUUUCGCUAACUCCUCCGAAGGCUUUCGUUCCACCGGCACCACAUUUGCUCAGGCCAAUCUACACCCCGUGGCCAUUAAAAGUUAUCAAAAUCAUGACGCUGCACCCCAAGGUUUAGGUUCUAGGGGGCGCCAAAGAUAACACUAAAAUCCACAUAUUUAAAAGUCUUAUAACUUUUUAUUUUUGUCCUCACUGGCCUCCAAGUUUUCUAGGAUGAUGCAAUGUCCAGCCAUCAACACAUUUGUGAAGGAAUUUUUACUCCCCAAAAGAGCGCCCCCCCCAUGGCAGGAGAAAAAAGUCCAUUUUUUCUUGUCCCCUAAGGUGAAAAUACACAUUGUUGAGUGUCACGCCUAUACGCUUUGUCAAAAUGACACAAAAAUUGACACACACAUGUAACUCAAUAAGAUCUACGAAAAAGUCAAUGCGCGCGUAUCUGUCAAAUGUACGGUUAAAGGGUUAUUCCGCAUUUUUUGCCGAUCCGCACACAUUGGAAUUUCGCUAACUCCUCCGAAGGCUUUCUGUCCACCGGCACCACAUUUGCUCAGGCCAAUCUACACCCCAUGGCCAUUAAAAGUUAUUCAAAUCAUGACGCUGCACCCCACGGUUUAGGUUCUAGGGGGCGCCAAAGACAACCCUAAAAUCCACAUAUUUAAAAGUCUUAUAACUUUUUAUUUUUGUCCUCACUGGCCUCCAAGUUUUCUAGGAUGAUGCAAUGUCCAGCCAUCAACACAUUUGUGAAGGAAUUUUUACUCCCCAAAAGAGCGCCCCCCAUGGCAGGAGAAAAAAGUCCAUUUUUUCUUGUCCCCUAAGGUGAAAAUACAUAUUGUUGAGAUUCACGCCUAUACGCUUUGUCAUAUUGACACAAAAUUUGACAAUCACGUGCCUUGCCUGGUAUCAUUUUUUUUCAGCACAACCUCACCUGUGCGAAUUUACAGUUAUUUUAUCAUGUUGACAUACUGAAUUUACACAAUGGACCCAAAUUCACACACAAAACAUAAAAUCCGAGUGGAAAAAAGUAACAUUUUUACUGUGAAAACCACAAAUAUGUGUGAUGAACUGUUUUUAAAACUUAAACUUCAAAUAAAAAUUGUAAACUUCAAAACAUAUGCAAAUUUUUAACAAAGAACAUAGUGAUUUACCUCUAUUUACAUCAAAAUGCAGGCAAUGGCCCAGGCGUUCUUUGUAAAAUUAUUUACAAAACACUGUAUAGUCUCACAAAUGUCACUUUUUAUUUAUGCCACUACAAAAAAACAUGAUGUAAAUGAUGCAUGAUGUAAAACAUGAUGUAAAAAACUUGUGUAGAUCCUCCUCUAUGUCAGUCCAUGUGUAAUUUUUCCAUAAUUCUUUGUUUUUUGCAGCAUUUUUGUUAGUGUAACUGCAGAUUGUGCUGACAGUGUCUAUGGCACAAAAAAAAAAAUAAUUAAAAUGCCUCAACAUGAACCCCUGGUGGUCUCUGAGGGUGAAACCUGCUAACUGCUGCAGCUCUGUCAGCUUCAGUCUCCCAUGCAGAGCUCUGAGCGCAUGUGUGGCUCUGCACCCUUAGCAGCGUUGCUAACUCCUCAGUAAGGAAAGCCUGCUUCAUGUCAGAGUCUCUAAACUCCAGAAGAAGUCGAUAAAAGUCCCUUUCUUUCUAAAAAAAAGUCGUUAGGGGGUCUGAAAAGUCAUUGAAUCUAACAACAAAGUCGUUAGGUUUGCAACUACGUGUCCCAGACUGCAUCCCUGCUGAGAGUCCCUCCCUCCCUUCUCAUGUUGCAGGAAGAACGUAAGCGAAUGAUAUCGACAGUGAUAUCGAAUAGGCUAGGCACUCACGAGGCUGGCUGUGGCAAGUGUAAGUGAAAGCAACACGCACUGGCAGGAAGAACAGCAAACGCCGAUGAAGGAAAAGGGUCUUUGCAGUGAUGGGCGUUACCAGAGAGGGCGAUGGCCAGAGGACACAAAUGGGACGGGGAGGCAGCACGUUGGGGGGGGGGCGACACGGCUCGGGCCCGCCAGUGCCCCAACGGGGUCCUAGUUAGGGCCCGAGCGUAGCUGCUAAGCAGCUGCGAGAGCCCUAUUAUUCCCCAAGGGGUUUUUCUUUGUUUCUUUCUUUCUUUCUUUCUUCUUUUUCCUCCCCUUUGAACUGGAAAAUGGCCCACUUCCCACUGGCGAAAACUCAGGAAAUUUGGCAGGACGACCGGGCCUGGUGAAAAAUUCGAUAUUCCGAAGUCGCCCAAACAAGAAAAUGCAAAAUGGCUCCAUAGCGCCCCCUAAGGUGAAAAUUCACACUAUUGACUGUCACGCCUGUACGCUUUGUCAAAAUGACACAAAAAUUGACACACACAUGUAUCUCAAUAAGAUCUACAAAAAAGUCAGUGCGGGCGUAUCUGUCAAAUGUACGGUUAAAGGGUUAUUUCGCAUUUUUUGCCGAUCCGCACACAUUGGAAUUUCGCUAACUCCUCCGAAGGCUUUCGUUCCACCGGCACCACAUUUGCUCAGGCCAAUCUACACCCCAUGGCCAUUAAAAGUUAUUCAAAUCAUGACGCUGCACCCCACGGUUUAGGUUCUAGGGGGCGCCAAAGAUAACCCUAAAAUCCACAUUUUUAAAAGUCUUAUAACUUUUUAUUUUUGCCCUCACUGGCCUCCAAGUUUUCUAGGAUGAUGCAAUGUCCAGCCAUCAACACAUUUGUGAAGGAAUUUUUACUCCCCAAAAGAGCGCCCCCCCAUGGCAGGAGAAAAAAGUCCAUUUUUUCUUGUCCCCUAAGGUGAAAAUACACAUUGUUGAGUGUCACGCCUGUACGCUUUGUCAAAAUGACACAAAAAUUGACACACACAUGUAUCUCAAUAAGAUCUACAAAAAAGUCCAUGCGCGCGUAUCUGUCUAAUGUACGGUUAAAGGGUUAUUCCGCAUUUUUUGCCGAUUCGCACACAUUGGAAUUUAGCUAACUCCUCCGAAGGCUUUCGUUCCACCGGCACCACAUUUGCUCAGGCCAAAUUACACCCCAUGGCCAUUAAAAGUUAUUCAAAUCAUGACGCUGCACCCUACGGUUUACGUUCUAGGGGGCGCCAAAGAUAACCCAAAAAUCCACAUUUUUAAAAGUCUUAUAACUUUUUAUUUUUGUCCUCACUGGCCUCCAAGUUUUCUAGGAUGAUGCAAUGUCCAGCCAUCAACACAUUUGUGAAGGAAUUUUUACUUCCUAAAAGAGCGCCCCCCAUGGCAGGAGAAAAAAGUCCAUUUUUUCUUGUCCCCUAAGGUGAAAAUACACAUUGUUGACUGUCACGCCUGUACGCUUUGGCAAAAUGACACAAAAAUUGACAAUCAUGUGUAUCUCAAUUAGAUCUACGAAAAAGUCAAAGAGCGCGUAUCUGUAUAAUGUACGGUAAAAGGGCUAUUUUGCAUUUUUUGCCGAUUCGCACACAUUGGAAUUUCGCUAACUCCUCCUAAGGCUUUCGUCCCACUGACACCAAAUUUGCUCAGGCCAAUCUACACUCCAUGGCCAUUCAAAGUUGUAAAAAUCAUGACGCUGCACCCCACGGUUUACGUUUUAGGGGGCGCCAAAGAUGACCCAAAUAUACAUUACAGUAGACAAAGUAGUUUUGCCCACUGAGUGGCGCCAAAGGGACUUGUCUAUGGAGUCUGUGAGUCACUAUUGGCCGUUUUUGACUACUUUAGAUUUUACCUUUAUAUUUCCUCUUACAAAAUUUUUACCUUGCCUUGCCUGGUAUCAUUUUUUUCAGCACAACCUCACCUGUGUCAAUUUACAGUUAUUUUAUCAUUUUGACAUACUAUAUUUACACAUUGGACCCAAAUUCACACACAAAACAUAAAAUCCGAGUGGAAAAAAGUAACGUUUUUACUGUGAAAACCACAAAUAUGUGUGAUGAACUGUUUUUAAAACUUAAACUUCAAAUAAAAAUUGUAAACUUCAGAACAUAUGCAAAUUUUUAACAAAGAACAUAGUAAUUUACCUCUAUUUACAUCAAAAUGCAGGCAAUGGCUCAGGUGUUCUUUGUAAAAUUAUUUACAAAACACUGUAUAGUCUCACAAAUGUCACUUUUUAUUUAUGCCACUACAAAAAAAACAUGAUGUAAAUGAUGCAUGAUGUAAAACAUGAUGUAAAAAACUUGUGUAGAUCCUCCUCUAUGUUAGUCCAUGUGUAAUUUUUCCAUAAUUCUUUGUUUUUUGCAGCAUUUUUGUUAGUGUAACUGCAGAUUGUGCUGACAGUGUCUAUGGCAAAAAAAAAAAAAAAAAAUUAAAAUGCCUCAACAUGAACCCCUGGUGGUCUCUGAGGGUGAAACCUGCUAACUGCUGCAGCUCUGUCAGCUUCAGUCUCCCAUGCAGAGCUCGGAGCGCAUGUGUGGCUCUGCACCCUUAGCAGCGUUGUUAACUCCUCAGUAAGGAAAGCCUGCUUCAUGUCAGAGUCUCAAAACUCCAGAAGAAGUCGAUAAAAGUCCCUUUCUUUCUAAAAGUCGUUAGGGGGUCUGAAAAGUCAUUGAAUCUAACAACAAAGUCGCUAGGUUUGCAACUACGUGUCCCAGACUGCAUCCCUGCUGAGAGUCCCUCCCUCCCUUCUCAUAUUGCAGGAAGAACGUAAGCGCCCGCCCCUUGUCAAUCAGUCACCAUAUAAUUUUGGAUUGGUUGUUGUGGUGAAGUUUUCCACCAAUAGGAGAGAUGUUGUGGUGUGUUUUUUUUUUCCUUUGGCAAGCCUUUUCCGCCUGUAAGACCUGUCGCUAAUGUCUGCAUGCUAUGUUUUCCUGUCUCAUACAGCGCGAUCGAGCGCCGAACGUGAUCAAAAUAAGCAGAAAACAAGUAUCGCGGACAUAAUUUAUCAUAACUCUGGUUUUAUUUGGCCUAUCAACACAAUUUAAAAACUGGUAUAUAGGUUGAGGUCCUCACUUUUGAGAUAAGUUGAAACGGAGAGUCAACGAGGCUCCGUCUUGCAGCUACAUCCGGUUAAAUAUGUCAUGUGACUUGAACGCACACACAGACACACACACACACGCACACACACACACACACACACUCAGAGUCUGGUUUUUAGCACCUGCAAAAACAUGCUAUUUACAUAUUUGACAAGAAUGCAGAGGCUCCUUUUGCCCCUGAAAAAAAUCAAAUUUCAAACACAACUUGACUGGUCAUUUCUCCAAAAGACAACCAUGAAGCUCCAUCCAAACCUGAAGCAGGCAGUUGGUGCAUGUGCACAGUAACCUGAGGGGAGUGAGGUGACUGCUUCUGAGGAGAACAUGAGCAGUGAAGAUUCACCUUAGAGCUAGAACAGAGACGUGCACAUGAUUAUACAGGGGCAGGGGCUCAAGUUUUUUCCAGUUGUUUAUACAAUAUGGAAAUUAAUGUGAAAUUAAAAAACAAAGUAUUAAUAGAAAGGUAAUGACUGUCCUGUGUAGGUGACAGUGAUAUCCAAUAGGCUAGGCACUCACGAGGCUGGCUGUGGCAAGUGUAAGUGAAAGCAACACGCACUGGCAGGAAGAACAGCAAACGCCGAUGAAGGAAAAGGGUCUUUGCAGUGAUGGGCGUUACCAGAGAGGGCGAUGGCCAGAGGACACAAAUGGGACGGGGAGGCAGCGCGUUGGGGGGGGACGCGACACAGCUCGGGCCCGCCAGUGCCCCAACGGGGUCCUAGUUCUUUGUUUCUUUCUUUCUUUUUUCUUUUUCCUCCCCUUUGAACUGGAAAAUGGCCCACUUCCCACUGGCGAAAACUCAUGAAAUUUGGCAGGACGACCGGGCCUGGUGAAAAAUUCGAUAUUCUGAAGUCGCCAAAACAAUAAAAUGCAAAAUGGCUCCAUAGCGCCCCCUAAGGUGGAAAUUCACACUAUUGACUGUCACGCCUGUACGCUUUGUCAUAUUGACACAAAAAUUGACACACACAUGUAUCUCAAUAAGAUCUACAAAAAAGUCAGUGCGGCCGUAUCUGUCAAAAUUACGGUUAAAGGGUUAUUUCGCAUUUUUUGCCGAUCCGCACACAUUGGAAUUUCGCUAACUCCUCCGAAGGCUUUCGUUCCACCGGCACCACAUUUGCUCAGGCCAAUCUACACCCCAUGGCCAUUAAAAGUUAUCAAAAUCAUGACGCUGCACCCCAAGGUUUAGGUUCUAGGGGGCGCCAAAGAUAACACUAAAAUCCACAUAUUUAAAAGUCUUAUAACUUUUUAUUUUUGUCCUCACUGGCCUCCAAGUUUUCUAGGAUGAUGCAAUGUCCAGCCAUCAACACAUUUGUGAAGGAAUUUUUACUCCCCAAAAGAGCGCCCCCCCAUGGCAGGAGAAAAAAGUCCAUUUUUUCUUGUCCCCUAAGGUGAAAAUACACAUUGUUGAGUGUCACGCCUAUACGCUUUGUCAAAAUGACACAAAAAUUGACACACACGUAACUCAAUAAGAUCUACAAAAAAGUCCAUGCGCGCGUAUCUGUCAAAUGUACAGUUAAAGGGUUAUUCCGCAUUUUUUGCCGAUCCGCACACAUUGGAAUUUCGCUAACUCCUCCGAAGGCUUUCGUUCCACCGGCACCACAUUUGCUCAGGCCAAUCUACACCCCAUGGCCAUUAAAAGUUAUUCAAAUCAUGAUGCUGCACCCCAUGGUUUAGGUUCUAGGGGGCGCCAAAAAUAACCCAAAAAUCCACAUUCUUAAAUGUUUUAUAACUUUUUAUUUUUGUCCUCACUGGCCUCCAAGUUUUCUAGGAUGAUGCAAUGUCCAGCCAUCAACACAUUUGUGAAGGAAUUUUUACUCCCCAAAAGAGCGCCCCCCCAUGGUAGGAGAAAAAAGUCAAUUUUUUCUUGUCCCCUUACAUAAAAAUACACAUUGUUGAGUGUCACGCCUGAACGCUUUGUCAUAUUGACACAAAAAUUGACAAUCAUGUGUAUCUCAAUUAGAUCUACGAAAAAGUCAAAGAGCGCGUAUCUGUAUAAUGUACGGUUAAAGGGCUAUUUUGCAUUUUUUGCCGAUUCGCACACAUUGGAAUGUGGCUAUCUCCUCCUAAGGCUUUCGUCCCACCGAUACCAAAUUUGCUCAGGGCAAUCUACACCCCAUGCCCAUUCAAAGUUGUAAAAAUCAUGACGCUGCACCCCACGGUUUACGUUCUAGGGGGCGCCAAAGAUGACCCAAAAAUCCACAUUCUUAAAAGUCAUUUUGGCCACUGCAGGAGUACAGAGUACUGCAGUUCUAGGGGGCGCCAAAGAUGACCCAAAAAUCCACAUUCUUAAAAGUCUUUUUGGCCACUGCAGGAGUACAGAGUACUGCAGGAUACACACACAUAUACACACACGCCAACAUACACACACACACACACACACACACACACACACACACACACUCAGAGUCUGUUUUUUAGCACCUGCAAAAACAUGCUGUUUACAUAUUUGACAAGAAUGCAGAGGCUUCCUUUUGCCCCUGAAAAAAAUCAAAUUUCAAACACAACUUGACUGUUCAUUUCUCCAAAAGACAACCAUGAAGCUCCAUUUCAAACCUGAAGCAGAUAGUUGGUGCAUGUGUACAGUAACCGGAGGGGAGUGAGGUGACUAUUUCUGAGGAGAACAUGAGCAGUGAAGAUUCACCUUGGAGCUAGAACAGGGACGUGCACAUGAUUAUACAGGGGCAGGGGCUCAAGUUUUUUCCAGUCAUUUAUACAAUAUGGAAAUUAAUGUGAAAUUAAACCACAAAUAUGUGUGAUGAACUGUUUUUAAAACUUAAACUUCAAAUAAAAAUUGUAAACUUCAAAACAUAUGCAAAUUUUUAACAAAGAACAUAGUAAUUUACCUCUAUUUACAUCAAAAUGCAGGCAAUGGCCCAGGCGUUCUUUGUAAAAUUAUUUACAAAACACUGUAUAGUCUCACAAAUGUCACUUUUUAUUUAUGCCACUACAAAAAAACAUGAUGUAAAUGAUGCAUGAUGUAAAACAUGAUGUAAAAAACUUGUGUAGAUCCUCCUCUAUGUCAGUCCAUGUGUAAUUUUUCCAUAAUUCUUUGUUUUUUGCAGCAUUUUUGUUAGUGUAACUGCAGAUUGUGCUGACAGUGUCUAUGGCACAAAAAAAAAAAAAAAAUUAAAAUGCCUCAACAUGAACCCCUGGUGGUCUCUGAGGGUGAAACCUGCUAACUGCUGCAGCUCUGUCAGCUUCAGUCUCCCAUGCAGAGCUCGGAGCGCAUGUGUGGCUCUGCACCCUUAGCAGCGUUGCUAACUCCUCAGUAAGGAAAGCCUGCUUCAUGUCAGAGUCUCUAAACUCCAGAAGAAGUCGAUAAAAGUCCCUUUCUUUCUAAAAAAAAGUCGUUAGGGGGUCUGAAAAGUCAUUGAAUCUAACAACAAAGUCGCUAGGUUUGCAACUACGUGUCCCAGACUGCAUCCCUGCUGAGAGUCCCUCCCUCCCUUCUCAUGUUGCAGGAAGAACGUAAGCGCCCGCCCCUUGUCAAUCAGUCACCAUAUAAUUUUGGAUUGGUUGUUGUGGUGAAGUUUUCCACCAAUAGGAGAGAUGUUGUGGUGUGUUUUUUUUUUCCUUUGGCAAGCCUUUUCCGCCUGUAAGACCUGUCGCUAAUGUCUGCAUGCUAUGUUUUCCUGUCUCAUACAGCGCGAUCGAGCGCCGAACGUGAUCAAAAUAAGCAGAAAAAAAGUAUCGCGGACAUAAUUUAUCAUAACUCUGGUUUUAUUUGGCCUAUCAACACAAUUUAAAAACUGGUAUAUAGGUUGAGGUCCUCACUUUUGAGAUAAGUUGAAACGGAGAGUCAACGAGGCUCCGUCUUGCAGCUACAUCCGGUUAAAUAUGUCAUGUGACUUGAACGCACACACAGACACACACACACGCACACACACACACACACACACACACACACACACACACACACACACACACUCAGAGUCUGGUUUUUAGCACCUGCAAAAACAUGCUAUUUACAUAUUUGACAAGAAUGCAGAGGCUCCUUUUGCCCCUGAAAAGAAUCAAAUUUCAAACACAACUUGACUGGUCAUUUCUCCAAAAGACAACCAUGAAGCUCCAUCCAAACCUGAAGCAGGCAGUUGGUGCAUGUGUACAGUAACCUGAGGGGAGUGAGGUGAGUGCUUCUGAGGAGAACAUGAGCAGUGAAGAUUCACCUUGGAGCUAGAACAGAGACAUGCACAUGAUUAUACAGGGGCAGGGGCUCAAGUUUUUUCCAGUCGUUUAUACAAUAUGGAAAUUAAUGUGAAAUUAAAACACAAAGUAUUAAUAGAAAGGUAAUGACUGUCCUGUGUAGGUGACAGUGAUAUCCAAUAGGCUAGGCACUCACGAGGCUGGCUGUGGCAAGUGUAAGUGAAAGCAACACGCACUGGCAGGAAGAACAGCAAACGCCGAUGAAGGAAAAGGGUCUUUGCAGUGAUGGGCGUUACCAGAGAGGGCGAUGGCCAGAGGACACAAAUGGGACGGGGAGGCAGCACGUUGGGGGGGGGGGGACGCGACAUGGCUCGGGCCCGCCAGUGCCCCAACGGGGUCCUAGUUAGGGCCCAAGCGUAGCUGCUAAGCAGCUGCGAGAGCCCUCUUGUUCCUGUAGUUUCCUUCUUUUUAGGGCCCGAGCGUAGCUGCUAAGCAGCUGCGAGAGCCCUAUUAUUCCCCAAGUGGUUUUUCUUUGUUUCUUUCUUUCUUUCUUUCUUUCUUUCUUCUUUUUCCUCCCCUUUGAACUGGAAAAUGGCCCACUUCCCACUGGCGAAAACUCAUGAAAUUUGGCAGGACGACCGGGCCUGGUGAAAAAUUCGAUAUUCUGAAGUCGCCCAAACAAUAAAAUGCAAAAUGGCUCCAUAGCGCCCCCUAAGGUGGAAAUUCACACUAUUGACUGUCACGCCUGUACGCUUUGUCAUAUUGACACAAAAAUUGACACACAUAUGUAUCUCAAUAAGAUCUAUAAAAAAGUCAGUGCGGCCGUAUCUGUCAAAUGUACGGUUAAAGGGUUAUUUCGCAUUUUUUUCCGAUCCGCACACAUUGGAAUUUCGCUAACUCCUCCGCAGGCUUUCGUUCCACCGGCACCACAUUUGCUCAGGCCAAUCUACACCCCGUGGCCAUUAAAAGUUAUCAAAAUCAUGACGCUGCACCCCAAGGUUUAGGUUCUAGGGGGCGCCAAAGAUAACACUAAAAUCCACAUAUUUAAAAGUCUUAUAACUUUUUAUUUUUGUCCUCACUGGCCUCCAAGUUUUCUAGGAUGAUGCAAUGUCCAGCCAUCAACACAUUUGUGAAGGAAUUUUUACUCCCCAAAAGAGCGCCCCCCCAUGGAAGGAGAAAAAAGUCCAUUUUUUCUUGUCCCCUAAGGUGAAAAUACACAUUGUUGAGUGUCACGCCUAUACGCUUUGUCAAAAUGACACAAAAAUUGACACACACAUGUAACUCAAUAAGAUCUACGAAAAAGUCAAUGCGCGCGUAUCUGUCAAAUGUACGGUUAAAGGGUUAUUCCGCAUUUUUUGCCGAUCCGCACACAUUGGAAUUUCGCUAACUCCUCCGAAGGCUUUCGUUCCACCGGCACCACAUUUGCUCAGGCCAAUCUACACCCCAUGGCCAUUAAAAGUUAUUCAAAUCAUGACGCUGCACCCCACGGUUUAGGUUCUAGGGGGCGCCAAAGACAACCCUAAAAUCCACAUAUUAAAAAGUCUUAUAACUUUUUAUUUUUGUCCUCACUGGCCUCCAAGUUUUCUAGGAUGAUGCAAUGUCGAGCCAUCAACACAUUUGUGAAGGAAUUUUUACUCCCCAAAAGAGCGCCCCCCCAUGGCAGGAGAAAAAAGUCCAUUUUUUCUUGUCCCCUAAGGUGAAAAUACAUAUUGUUGAGAUUCACGCCUAUACGCUUUGUCAUAUUGACACAAAAUUUGACAAUCACGUGCCUUGCCUGGUAUCAUUUUUUUUCAGCACAACCUCACCUGUGCGAAUUUACAGUUAUUUUAUCAUGUUGACAUACUGAAUUUACACAAUGGACCCAAAUUCACACACAAAACAUAAAAUCCGAGUGGAAAAAAGUAACAUUUUUACUGUGAAAACCACAAAUAUGUGUGAUGAACUGUUUUUAAAACUUAAACUUCAAAUAAAAAUUGUAAACUUCAAAACAUAUGCAAAUUUUUAACAAAGAACAUAGUGAUUUACCUCUAUUUACAUCAAAAUGCAGGCAAUGGCCCAGGCGUUCUUUGUAAAAUUAUUUACAAAACACUGUAUAGUCUCACAAAUGUCACUUUUUAUUUAUGCCACUACAAAAAAACAUGAUGUAAAUGAUGCAUGAUGUAAAACAUGAUGUAAAAAACUUGUGUAGAUCCUCCUCUAUGUCAGUCCAUGUGUAAUUUUUCCAUAAUUCUUUGUUUUUUGCAGCAUUUUUGUUAGUGUAACUGCAGAUUGUGCUGACAGUGUCUAUGGCACAAAAAAAAAAAAAAUUUAAAAUGCCUCAACAUGAACCCCUGGUGGUCUCUGAGGGUGAAACCUGCUAACUGCUGCAGCUCUGUCAGCUUCAGUCUCCCAUGCAGAGCUCUGAGCGCAUGUGUGGCUCUGCACCCUUAGCAGCGUUGCUAACUCCUCAGUAAGGAAAGCCUGCUUCAUGUCAGAGUCUCUAAACUCCAGAAGAAGUCGAUAAAAGUCCCUUUCUUUCUAAAAAAAGUCGUUAGGGGGUCUGAAAAGUCAUUGAAUCUAACAACAAAGUUGCUAGGUUUGCAACUACGUGUCCCAGACUGCAUCCCUGCUGAGAGUCCCUCCCUCGCUUCUCAUGUUGCAGGAAGAACGUAAGCGCCCGCCCC
rnacentral:lncRNA from 1 species